GAAGUAGUUUCCGGAAAGAAACGGAAGGAAGAGACUCGGGGAGAAAAAUCUAGAGAAAAGUCAAGCCUACAGGAAUGAGAAAGAAAAACGUGAAGUCUGUGCAGACUAUUAUUUGUGGCAUGAAUCCUUAUUUCUGACAGAGGUUUGAAAUCCUCAGUGAUGUCCUGAGUGAGGAGGAAGUAUUCAGCGAGUUUCUGGACAGACCAUUUUGCUCACAUUGUGAAAAUUUGCUGACAGUGGUUAUUUUUCUUUCUGGGAAGCAAGUUUCCUUGCCUGGCUGCCAUUCCCCUUUAUUCAGAUAAAUGCACUAUGAUUUGAUCACCCCCAAUAAACCUUGGAUAGUUUUAGAUUUAUAAAUUAAC
rnacentral:lncRNA from 1 species